UAGCUAGUUGGUGAGGUAACGGCUUACCAAGGCGACGAUCUGUAGCGGGUCUGAGAGGAUGAUCCGCCACACUGGAACUGAGACACGGUCCAGACUCCUACGGGAGGCAGCAGUGGGGAAUUUUGGACAAUGGGGGCAACCCUGAUCCAGCCAUGCCGCGUGAGUGAAGAAGGCCUUCGGGUUGUAAAGCUCUUUCGGCCGGGAAGAAAUCGCAUGGGCCAAUACCCUGUGUGGAUGACGGUACCGGAAUAAGAAGCACCGGCUAACUACGUGCCAGCAACCGCGGUAAUACGUAGGGUGCGAGCGUUAAUCGGAAUUACUGGGCGUAAAGCGUGCGCAGGCGGUUUUGUAAGACAGGCGUGGAAUCCCCGGGCUCAACCUGGGAACUGCGUUUGUGACUGCAAGGCUAGAGUACGGCAGAGGGGGGUGGAAUUCCACGUGUAGCAGUGAAAUGCGUAGAGAUGUGGAGGGACACCAAUGGCGAAGGCAGCCCCCUGGGUCGAUACUGACGCUCAUGCACGAAAGCGUGGGUAGCAAACAGGAUUAGAUACCCUGGUAGUCCACGCCCUAAACUAUGUCAACUAGGUGUUGGGUGGGUAAAACCAUUUAGUACCGUAGCUAACGCGUGAAGUUGACCGCCUGGGGAGUACGGCCGCAAGGUUAAAACUCAAAGGAAUUACGGGGACCCGCACAAGCGGUGGAUGAUGUGGAUUAAUUCGAUGCAACGCGAAAAACCUUACCUACCCUUGACAUGCCAGGAACUUGCCAGAGAUGGCUUGGUGCCCGAAAGGGAGCCUGGACACAGGUGCUGCAUGGCUGUCGUCAGCUCGUGUCGUGAGAUGUUGGGUUAAGUCCCGCAACGAGCGCAACCCUUGUCGUUAAUUGCCAUCAUUUAGUUGAGCACUUUAGCGAGACUGCCGGUGACAAACCGGAGGAAGGUGGGGAUGACGUCAAGUCCUCAUGGCCCUUAUGGGUAGGGCUUCACACGUCAUACAAUGGUCGGUACAAAGGGUCGCCAAGCCGCGAGGUGGAGCCAAUCCCAGAAAGCCGAUCGUAGUCCGGAUUGCAGGCUGCAACUCGCCUGCAUGAAGUCGGAAUCGCUAGUAAUCGUGGAUCAGCAUGUCACGGUGAAUACGUUCCCGGGUCUUGUACACACCGCCCGUCACACCAUGGGAGCGGGUUCCGCCAGAAGUAGGUAGCCUAACCGCAAGGAGGGCGCUUACCACGGCGGGGUUCGUGACUGGGGUGAAGUCGUAACAAGGUAGCCGUAGGGGAACCUGCGGCUG
rnacentral:rRNA from 1 species